GUCACUUUCUUCUACCCACACACUUUCUCUGGCUUUUUGUUCAGUUUUCGUUGUGGUUUACUAACCAAAACGUAACUAUAUUGCAAUUAGUGGGUCCCAAUUCUCCUCUUCUUCACAUCUUGUUUCUUUUCUUUUUCUUUUUUAGAUCUCCUCUGAAAUUUCGCCCGUGAAACCAUUGAUUUUAUAAUGAAUAUCCUCCACAUCAAUAAUUCUCUUUCUCCUCUAGAUCCAACCCUCGCCUCUUCAUCACAACUUCUCGAAUUAUCACUAUACUCCUCCACCAUUACUGCAUCUUCUAACGCCGCUGCAAUCAAUUUUUCGGAGAGCUUCGCCUCUUCCUCUCCCUGCUCAGCUCCUCCCUCAAAUAUCUCGUCGUUGUGAUGUCUCAUCCGCCUGUGGUCGUUGCUUUUCGUUGCGUCUCCUCGACAUAAGCUUCUCCACAUAUCAAGCCCAAGACCUCUCCACCUAUGGGUCAUGCUCUCAGCCUUCGCCGUCAUUGGAAUCAAGCCUCGCUGUGUCAUUGGAAUCAAGCCUCGCUGUCGUGUCUCUGCUCCGUCGUAGCCGGCUCGCCUUCGUCGUCUGUUAAAGGCAAGAAGAUCGCUCAAGCAACAUCAGUGGAGGAGUAUCAUCUUUUUGCACUUUUGGUCCUCUAGUUUUCUGCUUCUUUUACAAUAUACCUUAAACUUCCAAUCUUAUUAAAUUGCUUUAAAAAUUUACCGCAUUGUACAUGUGUACAUGUAAUUUUACUGAUCAUUGUGUACAUUAUACCUAUUGUACAUGUGUACACGUAAUUAGAAUAUAUAUCAAACAUGUGAGUAAAAAAUAUGUAUACUUGACUAUUUUAUAUUUAAAUUGCAACUAUAUACAGCAAAUUCAUCAGGUAUACAUAUGAAUUCUUGCACAAUCUAAUUGGUGUACGUAUAUAUUAAAAAAAUUUGUACACUGGUUCAUGUACAUAUGUACAUUAGGAAUCGUCAUGCAUAUAGCUAAUAUUUAAGUGAUAAUAAUGUAUUUCAUGGUUUUGGCUUUUUAUUUUAAGAUUAUAUCGCAUCUUCGUAAAGUAGAAGGUUGUAUUGCAUAAUUACAAGUGUUGAGCCAUAUUGAAAAGCAACUGUGCAAAUCUGCAACUUUAUAGCUAAAUUGUAAAAAGUUGAAAGUUAAAGGACUAGUUGUGCAAAUAUAUGAAACUUGGUUUGGAAUGGAUCCAUUAGAGGUUCGACAGUUCGGAUCGACCCCCGUUUGGUUCAUCGACGGUUGGAGAGGAGGAGAGAUCGCAGAGGUAGGCACAACAGAGCUUAACGAGCCACCGAUUUGAAGACGCGGAGGAAGACGCGACGGCGCAUGGAGUGACCGCACAGUGACGACGAUGGAUUGAAGACUUACUGC